GUAUUAAUUAUUAUUAUUUUUUUAUUAUUAUUUUGAUUGCUUUUGCCCACACCUGUCUUCACUUCUUUCUUCCUCCUCUUUAUUUUUUUCUGCCCAGAAAAACCUGACUUCGAUACCAAAAAAAGAUAAAACUACAGAAACUCAAAUUUAAAAAAAAAAGAAAAAAACUCUUAGAAAAAAAAAAAAGAAAAAAAAGAAAAAAAACCUCAAUUCUUUCAGCUUUAUUAACAUUUUCCAUUGUUUCUUGCGAAUUGUGUCUCGUUCUUUGUAGUAUUGAUGAUGAACAUUUGAUAAUGAAUGUUCUUGUAUAUUCAGAUAAAGAAAAAAAAAAACCAAAAAAGCGGUCUGAAUUUAAUAGUGUUUAUAAUAAAAAAAAAUUUAAAAAUGACCCUCAUAGCACGCAAAACAGGAAGGGGAAGUGUCCCUUCUUUCUGUGACAAUACACAUCAUUCCUGCAUACUUUUUUUUUUUAACACCAAACUACCUAUGUUCCUCAUUUCUCCCGUUUUUCUUUUUAAUUUUCUUGCAUUUGUGAAUUAGUUCAAGAAUGCUAGAAAAGUGUCAAGGUGUGUACAUCCAUUUCUUCUCUCACGAUGUUUAAAAGUGACCGUACUUCAUUUUGUAAACUAAGAAAAAAAAAAAAGAAAAAAAAAAGAAAAAAGGAAAAAAAAAAAGGUUGGAAUAGUGUGAACAUAAUAGGUUCAACCUAACACAUGUUUAUUAAUUUUGAGACCCAGAAAUGAAUUCUUCUCUUUAUUCCUGCUCUUAAAAAUACAAAAAAAGAGAAAGUUUUGUUUUGUGUUCUUUUUUGGUUUUGUUUAUUUGAGGGGGGGUGCUCCUUUUCCGCUGUUGGGUUUGUGGGUCUUGCUGGGUUUAUUCUUACGUAUGUAUACAGGGUGAUGUGAAAAGAGGUACCUGGGAGAGAAGGCUGCUUCCAUGCUCUGCUUUGCUUCAGUCCAUGUCAAAACCAUCGAGAAAGCUCAUGGCCUCAUGUCCCUGCUUUCUUGCAUGCCCGGGGUGUGUGGCACUCUGGUAGUCCCUGAGAUAACAAGACAGGGACUUCCUUCCUUAAAUACUCAUCUUUUCUUAUAUUGAAAAGAAAGGCUUUUGUUGAUUCUGAUUGUCCCAACCAAGGGUUUUCUUUCUCCCUGAUUAACUUCAACAGUCCACAAGUAUGCUUCCAACAAGACAGGAUCUUUCUCCAGGCAGAAAAGCACUGCUGUGGAGGGCACCAUAACCCAGUAGAGUAGAUCUGUGAAGCAGGCCCUGGGCCCAUCUUCUUGGGAUCCAGAGUCCCCGUAUUCUGUGUGCAGUGUGGGUAAAGUGAGGAGCCUGGGUCAAGGCUGCAAUUAGAAUGCUAAGAAGCUAUCUUUCAAUUGGUGCCACUUGUUGCUAACCUCUGGUGAGGUUAACUCUUUAAAUUGCCAGGUGGGCUUCAUCGGAAAGUCUGUAUUGGUCAUAGGGGAAAAGAAAGCCAUGUGGUUGGACAGACUUUCAGUUUCAGACAUUGCUCAUUCAAACACUCAGGUGUUCAGAAAGCAGACAGAAUUCCAACCAGAUAUGUAAAGAAGACAAGCGUGAGUAGUGGAGCUCUGCUGUAGGAAGCAGUCCACCUGGAGACAGCUUAGCUCUUGUUUCUGUGUCCUAAGAGAUGAAAGAGAUGAAAGGCACCCUUUUCACGUCACCUUUGUGGUUUUCAGCCUAGCUCAAAGCUUUCUGGAAACUUUUAUUAUUUUAUUUUAUUUUAUUUUAUUUUAUUUUUGUAAGCUACUUCUUUCCCUUUCGUUAAAAUAAAUAAAACAUUGAAUGUUU
rnacentral:lncRNA from 1 species